rnacentral:lncRNA from 1 species
GCCCUGGCCCUUCAUGGUCUGUCCCAGGCUUUGUGCCCUUCCCCAACAGCCUUUAUAGCCUAGUAGGGGAGAGAUUAUCCUAACAUAUCCUAACCCAGUGCCAGCCAACAGAAACACGAUUCGAGCCACAAGUGUAAUUUUAAUUGUUUUAGUAGCUACAUUAAACAAGUAAAAAGGGGAUCCCUGGGUGGCUCAGCGGUUUAGCGCCUGCCUUUGGCCCAGGGGGCGAUCCUGGAGUCCUGGGAUUGAGUCCCACGUCGGGCUCCCCCUCUGCCUGUGUCUCUGCCUCUCAAUCUCUCUCUCUGUGUCUAUCAUAAACAAACAAAUAAAUAAAUAAAUAAAUAAAUAAAUAAAUAAAUAAAUAAGUCUUAAAAAAUUAAAAAGGAAAAAAGAAUGGCUGGAGGCAGCCACCUCCUGUUAUGGGCAUCGGGGGAUGUUGGUGUGUCUGAGCUGGGUCUCUCCUCAUCUCCUUUUAACACCUCUGUCCAUCUUCUCCUCCCUUUGCCCCAGAGCUAAUGAGCUGAGGGCCCCCACUGAAAAAGCCUGUAUCCACCUAUUUCUCCCUUGAAUGCCCAGGCUCCAACUGGUUCCAGAGGAGCAUCCUGGGAGAGGUGGCCAGCAGAUGCCAGAUUCUGGCCACCUAGAAGCCCGAUGGCACCUGCAGGUGGUCCCUCCCCCACCUGGGCCCUGGGACCCGGCAAGCAGCCCAGCCCACCUGACUGUGGCCUCAAAUACUAGCCCCUGCCACUCAGAGUCGCUUACAAAACGUGGAGGUAAGGGACGCCUGGGUGCCUCAGAGGUUGAGCAACUGCCUUCGGCUCAGGGCAUGAUCCUGGGAUCCGGGAUCAAGUCCCACAUCAGGCUCCCUGCAUGGAGCCUGCUUCUCCCUCUGCCUGUGUCUCUGCUUCUCUCUGUGUGUCUCUCAUGAAUAAAUAAAUAAAAUCAUUUAAAAAAAAAAAAAGGUGGAGGUAAAAUGAGGUGAAGGGUCAGGUCCUUUACGACUCUGAUCUGACUCCACAGCAGAAUUUCCCAACAUUCACCACGCCUCCGGAGCACGUAGGGAGCAGUGGAGAAUAUCAACAUCUGGGGCGCCUCCCCCCCAUCUAGGACAAUUAGAUUGGAGCCCUGGGAGGUGGGGUCUCAAUAGCUUUUAAUGCUUCCAGCUGACUGAUGCUCCUUGUAUCUGGGGCGAGCCUGAGACUGGGCAUUUCCAGCCAGCUCCAGGAGAUGCUGAUGCUGCAGGUUCAGGACCACACUGACAGGAGGAGGUUGGCAGCACCUGCAUCCCUGGGCACCUCUUUAGAAAUGCAGUUGCAAUUGAUCCCCCAGUCUGGCUUCCACUGCUUCUGUGCGCUUGGGUAAACACACUUAUCUUCGAAUGCUGGGCUUCGGAGCUUACACUAUUAUAUUUGCUUUCUGAUAAUUCAUCAAGCUGUAUACUUAUGAUCUUGCCAGGGAAAGAGGGACAGGUUAUCCGGGACCCCCCCCCAAAAAAAAAGGAUGAGGAGUCCUGAUGCAACUGCACUUUGCCUUAGAGGCCGUGCACAUAGGGGCAGAAUUUGGGAGUCAAGAGGAUGAUGGUGGUACAUGCUUCUGCUUUCUUUUAGAAUUAAUUAAUUUAUUUAUUUAUUCAUGAGAGAUAGAGAGAGAGGCAGAGACACAGGCAGAGGAAGAAGCAGGCUCCAUGCAGGGAGCCUGACGUGGGACUCGAUCCGGGGUCUCCAGAAUCACGCCUGGACUGAAGGCAGGCGCUAAACCGCUGAGCCACCUGGCCUGCCCUUCUGCUCUCUUUCUAACACAGAAGAAAGAGGGGGAAGUGCAGGGGUCCAGCUCAGCUACCAAGGAGUCCCCUGGGCCAUGGAUGUUUGAAGUGGAUCUUGGGUGAGCCUCAGUUUCCUCAGCCGUACAGUGAGGCUGGUGAUGCCUCCUUCUCCAAGCUAUUCUGUUUUGGGUCAAACACACUCAAGCACAGCAGCUAACCUGGCACAGAUGAUUGUAUGAUCCAAUCCAGCCCCCGGUGAGGGCUUCCCAGGAAACAGGUUACAGCCAGCUCUCGGUCCUGGGGCCACACAUAGUGCUUAGUGAGGCAGGCAGACCUGGUUUGCCCCCCGUGAGUGCCCGUGCACCUCAGUUUGCUUGUCGGUUCCAGGCAGAUAGUCCAACCACUUUGGCAGGUUGUCGUAAGGAUUAAAGGGGGCCACGUGUGUGAAGUGUGGAGGCCAGCGCCAGGC